rnacentral:rRNA from 1 species
GGGUCAGUAGGUUGGUCGUGCCACUGGUAUGCACUGGCCUUACUGAUUCCUCCUUCUUGAAGAACUGUGAUGUCAUUUACUUGGUGUUGCAGGGAAACAGGACUGUUACUUUGAAAAAAUUAGAGUGUUUAAAGCAGGCCAAUGCCUGAAUACAUUAGCAUGGAAUAAUAAAAUAGGACGUAACGAUCCUAUUUUGUUGGUUUCUAGGAUUGACGUA